rnacentral:rRNA from 1 species
GCGUAAGCGCACGCAGGCGGUCUGUCAAGUCGGAUGUGAAAUCCCCGGGCUCAACCUGGGAACUGCAUUCGAAACUGGCAGGCUGGAGUCUUGUAGAGGGGGGUAGAAUUCCAGGUGUAGCGGUGAAAUGCGUAGAGAUCUGGAGGAAUACCGGUGGCGAAGGCGGCCCCCUGGACAAAGACUGACGCUCAGGUGCGAAAGCGUGGGGAGCAAACAGGAUUAGAUACCCUGGUAGUCCACGCCGUAAACGAUGUCGAUUUGGAGGUUGUGCCCUUGAGGCGUGGCUUCCGGAGCUAACGCGUUAAAUCGACCGCCUGGGGAGUACGGCCGCAAGGUUAAAACUCAAAUGAAUUGACGGGGGCCCGCACAAGCGGUGGAGCAUGUGGUUUAAUUCGAUGCAACGCGAAGAACCUUACCUGGUCUUGACAUCCGCAGAACUUUCCAGAGAUGGAUUGGUGCCUUCGCGAACUGUGAGACAGGUGCUGCAUGGCUGUCGUCAGCUCGUGCUGUGAAAUGGUGGGUU